GUGUCAGCAGCCGCGGUAAUACCAGCUCCCCGAGUGGUCGGGACGGUUAUUUGGCCUAAAGCAUCCGUAGCCCGUCCUGCAAGUCUUCCGUUAAAUCUAACGGCUCAACCGUUAGGCUGCGAAAGAUACCGCAGGACUAGGGGACGGGAGAGGCGGACGGUACUCCGGGGGUAGGGGUAAAAUCCUCUGAUCCUCGGAAGACCACCAGCGGCGAAGGCGGUCCGCCAGAACGUGCCCGACGGUGAGGGAUGAAAGCUGGGGGAGCGAACCGGAUUAGAUACCCGGGUAGUCCCAGCUGUAAACGAUGCGAGCUAGGUGACAGAAUGGCCUAAGGGCCAUUCUGCUGCCGCAGGGAAGCCGUUAAGCUCGCCGCCUGGGGAGUACGGACGCAAGUCUGAAACUUAAAUGAAUUGACGGGG
rnacentral:rRNA from 1 species